rnacentral:rRNA from 1 species
UACGAAGGGGGCUAGCGUUGUUCGGAAUUACUGGGCGUAAAGCGCACGUAGGCGGACAUUUAAGUCAGGGGUGAAAUCCCGGGGCUCAACCCCGGAACUGCCUUUGAUACUGGGUGUCUCGAGUCCGGAAGAGGUGAGUGGAAUUCCGAGUGUAGAGGUGAAAUUCGUAGAUAUUCGGAGGAACACCAGUGGCGAAGGCGGCUACCUGGACCGGUUCUGACGCUGAGGCGCGAAAGCGUGGGGAGCAAACAGG